rnacentral:rRNA from 1 species
GUUGAACGCUGGCGGCGUGCCUAAUACAUGCAAGUCGAGCGAAUGGAUUAAGAGCUUGCUCUUAUGAAGUUAGCGGCGGACGGGUGAGUAACACGUGGGUAACCUGCCCAUAAGACUGGGAUAACUCCGGGAAACCGGGGCUAAUACCGGAUAACAUUUUGAACCGCAUGGUUCGAAAUUGAAAGGCGGCUUCGGCUGUCACUUAUGGAUGGACCCGCGUCGCAUUAGCUAGUUGGUGAGGUAACGGCUCACCAAGGCAACGAUGCGUAGCCGACCUGAGAGGGUGGUCGGCCACACUGGGACUGAGAGCCGGCCCAGACUCCUACGGGAGGCAGCAGUAGGGAAUCUUCCGCAAUGGACGAAAGUCUGACGGAGUAACGCCGCGUGAGUGAUGAAGGCUUUCGGGUCGUAAAACUCUGUUGUUAGGGAAGAACAAGUGCUAGUUGAAUAAGCUGGCACCUUGACGGUACCUAACCAGAAAGCCACGGCUAACUACGUGCCAGCCGCCGCGGUAA